GAUGAACGCUAGCGACAGGCUUAACACAUGCAAGUCGAGGGGCAGCGAGAGGGUAGCAAUACUUUUGUCGGCGACCGGCGCACGGGUGAGUAACACGUAUGCAACCUGCCUAUUACAGGGGGAUAACCCGGAGAAAUUCGGACUAAUACCGCAUAAUACAUUGAUAAGGCAUCUUUUUAAUGUUAAAAAAUUUUGGUAAUAGAUGGGCAUGCGUAACAUUAGCUGGUUGGCGGGGUAACGGCCCACCAAGGCAACGAUGUUUAGGGGUUCUGAGAGGAAGGUCCCCCACACUGGUACUGAGACACGGACCAGACUCCUACGGGAGGCAGCAGUGAGGAAUAUUGGUCAAUGGACGAGAGUCUGAACCAGCCAAGUCGCGUGCAGGAUGACUGCCCUAUGGGUUGUAAACUGCUUUUAUAAUGGAAUAAAACGUCUUACGUGUAAGGCCUUGUAUGUACAUUAUGAAUAAGGAUCGGCUAACUCCGUGCCAGCCGCCGCCGUAAGAC
rnacentral:rRNA from 1 species